rnacentral:rRNA from 1 species
CUACGGGAGGCAGCAGUGGGGAAUAUUCACAAUGGGCGCAAGCCUGAUGCAGCGACGCCGCGUGGGGGAUGAAGGCCUUCGGGUUGUAAACUCCUUUCAACCAUGACGAAGCAUUAUGUGACGGUAGUGGUAGAAGAAGCACCGGCUAACUACGUGCCAGCAGCCGCGGUAAUACGUAGGGUGCGAGCGUUGUCCGGAAUUACUGGGCGUAAAGAGCUCGUAGGUGGUUUGUCGCGUCGUCUGUGAAAUUCCGGGGCUUAACUCCGGGCGUGCAGGCGAUACGGGCAUAACUUGAGUGCUGUAGGGGAGACUGGAAUUCCUGGUGUAGCGGUGAAAUGCGCAGAUAUCAGGAGGAACACCGAUGGCGAAGGCAGGUCUCUGGGCAGUAACUGACGCUGAGGAGCGAAAGCAUGGGUAGCGAACAGGAUUAGAUACCCUGGUAGUCCAUGCCGUAAACGGUGGGCGCUAGGUGUGGGGGUCUUCCACGACUUCUGUGCCGUAGCUAACGCAUUAAGCGCCCCGCCUGGGGAGUACGGCCGCAAGGCUAAAACUCAAAGGAAUUUGACGGACC